UACAAAGGGUGCAAGCAUUAAUCGGAAUUACUGGGCGUAAAGCGUGCGUAGACGGUUGCAUAAGUCAGAUGUGAAAGCCCCGGGCUCAACCUGGGAAUUGCAUUUGAGACUGUGUAGCUAAGGUGCGGAAGAGGGAAGCGGAAUUUCCGAUGUAGCGGUGAAAUGCGUAGAUAUCGGAAGGAACACCAGUGGCGAAAGCGGCUUCCUGGUCCAGCACCGACGUCAGGCACAAAAGCGUGGGGAGCAAACAGG
rnacentral:rRNA from 1 species